CGUGCGCGAGGCGGUUUUUGUAAGACUGUCGUGAAAUCCCCCGGGCUCAACCUGGGAAUGGCGAUGGUGACUGCAAGGCUAGAGUUUGGCAGAGGGGGGUAGAAUUCCACGUGUAGCAGUGAAAUGCGUAGAUAUGUGGAGGAACACCGAUGGCGAAGGCAGACCCCCUGGGUCAAAACUGACGCUCAUGCACGAAAGCGUGGGGAGCAAACAGGAUUAGAUACCCCAGU
rnacentral:rRNA from 1 species